rnacentral:rRNA from 1 species
CUACGGGUUGCAGCAGUGAGGAAUAUUGCACAAUGGGGGGAACCCUGAUGCAGCAACGCCGCGUGGAGGAUGACGCAUUUCGGUGUGUAAACUCCUUUUAUAUGUCAAGAAAAUGACGGUAGCAUAUGAAUAAGCACCGGCUAACUCCGUGCCAGCAGCCGCGGCAAUACGGAGGGUGCAAGCGUUACUCGGAAUCACUGGGCGUAAAGGACGCGUAGGCGGGAUAUCAAGUCAGGUGUGAAAUCCUACAGCUUAACUGUAGAACUGCACUUGAAACUGGUAACCUAGAGUAUGGGAGGGGGAGAUGGAAUUAGUGGUGUAGGGGUAAAAUCCGUAGAUAUCACUAGGAAUACCUAAAGCGAAGGCGAUCUCCUGGAACAUUACUGACGCUAAGGCGUGAAAGCGUGGGGAGCAAACAGGAUUAGAUACCCGAGUAGUC